rnacentral:rRNA from 1 species
UACGAAGGGGGCUAGCGUUGCUCGGAAUCACUGGGCGUAAAGCGCACGUAGGCGGAUCUUUAAGUCAGGGGUGAAAUCCUGGGGCUCAACUCCAGAACUGCCUUUGAUACUGGGGAUCUCGAGUCCGGGAGAGGUGAGUGGAACUGCGAGUGUAGAGGUGAAAUUCGUAGAUAUUCGCAAGAACACCAGUGGCGAAGGCGGCUCACUGGCCCGGUACUGACGCUGAGGUGCGAAAGCGUGGGGAGCAAACAGG